CCGUAGAUGACUCCGCCGACUUCGACGGUUUCUCCGA
rnacentral:sRNA from 1 species